UGUUAAUAGCAUACUCAUUUGACGUUAGCUGCAGAAGAAGCACCGGCUAACUCCGUGCCAGCAGCCGCGGUAAUACGGAGGGUGCGAGCGUUAAUCGGAAUUACUGGGCGUAAAGCGCAUGCAGGUGGUUUGUUAAGUCAGAUGUGAAAGCCCGGGGCUCAACCUCGGAAUUGCAUUUUGAAACUGGCAAACUAGAGUACUGUAGAGGGGGUAGGAAUUUCAGGUGUAGCGGUGAAAUGCGUAGAGAUCUGAAGGAAUACCGGUGGCGAAGGCGGCCCCCUGGACCAGAUACUGACACUCAGAUGCGAAAGCGUGGGGAGCAAACAGGAUUAGAUACCCUGGUAG
rnacentral:rRNA from 1 species